AGCGAACGCUGGCGGCAGGCCUAACACAUGCAAGUCGAACGAACCCUUCGGGGUUAGUGGCGGACGGGUGAGUAACACGUGGGAACGUGCCUUUAGGUUCGGAAUAACUCAGGGAAACUUGUGCUUAUACCGAAUGUGCCCUUCGGGGGAAAGAUUUAUCGCCUUUAGAGCGGCCCGCGUCUGAUUAGCUAGUUGGUGAGGUAAUGGCUCACCAAGGCUACGAUCAGUAGCUGGUCUGAGAGGAUGACCAGCCACAUUGGGACUGAGACACGGCCCAAACUCCUACGGGAGGCAGCAGUGGGGAAUUUUGCGCAAUGGGCGAAAGCCUGACGCAGCCAUGCCGCGUGGAUGAUGAAGGUCUUAGGAUUGUAAAAUCCUUUCACCGGUGAAGAUAAUGACUGUAGCCGGAGAAGAAGCCCCGGCUAACUUCGUGCCAGCCGCCGCCGUAAAAC
rnacentral:rRNA from 1 species